rnacentral:rRNA from 1 species
UACGUAGGGUGCAAGCGUUGUCCGGAAUUAUUGGGCGUAAAGAGCUCGUAGGCGGUUUGUCGCGUCUGCUGUGAAAACCCGAGGCUCAACCUCGGGCCUGCAGUGGGUACGGGCAGACUAGAGUGCGGUAGGGGAGAUUGGAAUUCCUGGUGUAGCGGUGGAAUGCGCAGAUAUCAGGAGGAACACCAAUGGCGAAGGCAGAUCUCUGGCCCGGUACUGACGCUGAGGUGCGAAAGCGUGGGGAGCAAACAGG